GCAGGGCAGAGGGACUGUCGCCGAGCGCUGCUUUGGGGUUCCCUUUAGGGAGCGCUGGGAUGGCGCAGCGCGGAUGGGUGCUGCGCUGGAGGGAUCUGCCGGGGGAGCACCGUCUGCCAUGGCCGGGGCAGUGACACAGCCCCUGCCCCGCGCCGGGCCCCGGCCGCGGCUGGCCUGAAGACUACAGGUAGGAGCUAAGUGUGUCUGUGGCUGUCAGCAGCAUCCUCGAUGGCAAACUAAUGCGAGGGGAAGUUUGAUAACCCCCAGACUUACAGAAGCAUUUUCUUGAUGAAACAUUUUCUGAAGCAAUGGAGCUGAUGAAAUCCUCCUUUUCCCUGUGGGCUUUCUACUCUGCCAGCACGUGAAUGGGCUUCACCUCCUGAUGAAUGUAACCGGUCGCUGAAUGCCAAAUCAGCCCUAUCAAGUUCAAGUCAAAGGUCUGGCAACAACAGAACCUUUCCCCACUCAUCAAGUGCAUUAACAUAUUGCCAACUUCCCUGCUCGAUGCGAGCUCCUCCUGCUGCGGGGAUCCAUCUGAAGGGAGGUGCUGAUACUUUAUGAAAACCAACCCAUAUACAAAGCAUGUAACAGGAAGAUGAACUUGAACAUAGGACCCUCAGAAGUUGAGUUACAUCAGCACAAGACAGUCUGAAGGCUUCUUGGAAUCCACCUAAAAUGUUUUUAUAUGGAAAACUCAUGAAACUGGUAUUUUUGUGAUUUUUGGUAUUUCCUUUUCUGGUCAAACCAGCAAUUCAGGACAAAAUUAAGAUGUUUCCAUUUCUGGCCUCAGGUAGCAGAAGACAGUGGAAUACUUGUGAAAGUUUAGAUACAAAUCUUUAUCAGAACUUGUAAAAUCAUAUAGUCCAGUUCUUGUAUAUGCUGCUGAAACAUUUAUUUUCAUGCUUAAUUGAACAAAAUAAUGUUUUGCUGGCAUUCUGCAGUACACAGUACACUUCAAUUAUAAUUGGUUUUGUCCCUUGCUGUUCUGUCACAUGAUGUUAUCUGAAACAUUUCCAGGUGUAUUCAUACAGUGAAUUUUUCUUAGAAAUUGUAAACUAUGUUUGCAGACUGACAUUUUCCUAAUGUUACCUCUUAAUCAGUGGUUCAGAAUGUUUAUUUAUGGUUGUGCAGAAAAAAUGUACAAGCAGAAAAUGUUCUUAGAAAUAUAUAUAGAAAUACCCACCAGUAUUCCCAAUCUAGAAUAGCUGCUAGUGGCAUUUUCUAAGAAGGACUGAAAUAUGCAAUGUUGACACUUGUCACUGGCAGUGUCUUUUAUAAAAAUAAUUCCCUCCAUUCGUAAUUUUUCUCACUUUAUACUCAGUGUAGUAAAAUGUUGAAGACAAAACACUUUAAUUACAUUAUUGCUGUAGCCAUUCCUAUCUUAAAAUGGGGUUUAAUUAAAAAACAUUUUUGAGCUGUUGACCUGUAGCAAAGGUUUAAGUGAUAUACCUCUGUAGUAAAUGUGCACACUGGAAGCAAAAAUAAUUCAAACUGGACUUUUGGCACAUUUAACUAACAUUGUUUCAGACUUGGAAUAAAACUUUAUUUUGGCUCAACGACUAUAGAUUUGUUGCAAUCAUUGCAGUUCACUGAACUUUUUUUUUCUGUGCAUACAUAUUUCAAGUAAACUCUGUAGUUAUAACAAGUGACACGUUAUGGACCCUAAAUCGUUGCACUGUGAAAUAUGCACAGAAAAAGGACAAAUGAAGAUAUCAAGGGUCUGUUCCAUUUUUCACUGAACUGUAAAAUGCCACCCUUGUCGUACAGCAGAUCACUGGUUCUGAGCAGGGCUCAUUGACUGCUAAGUUGUGGAUAGUGUUUCACUUUCUGCAACUGUUAAUAUCCUGGGUUAUCCAGGCAUAAUGACCUCUCUAUUUGUGACACAUUGUUGAAUUUUCUGGUUCUUUUAACUUAUUCAAACCUUUUUUUCCCCCCUUCUUCUUCUUUUUCUCCAUUCAUUGGAAGGCUGGAAGGAUUCUGAAUUGAGCUGCAGUACAGAGCUGCCUUGCUGUUGGUCAGCCAAUUACAGUUGAAAUAUGUGGUGGUGGCGGCACAUCUGUAAAUGAAUACAAACUUAAAAGUGUGAAGGAAAGGCGCUCUACAUCUGCACUAGCCCUUCUUUUAUACAGGGUAAUGCAUGUAUUUUGGAUAAUAUUGGUGUAUCUGCAGUACAGUUUGGUUUCAUUAGUUCUGAUAUAGUAAAUAAUCCAUACUACAAUGAUCUAUGUUAUUUUAUAGCUGAAAGUUGGUAUUUAAACUGAUUGGAAUGAAAUUCCAACUUUAUAACUGGUCACUAAAUUACAAUUACACUCAAUACCUAAGGUAUUAAGUAUUUUAAAUGCUGAUAAAGAUUUGCAUUUUUAAAAACUUUGACACUUCAAAAUAUGAAAAUAAAACAGGGGUUAUAUGCAGUGUACAGCAUUUAGUUUCCAGACUUUAAUCCAGACCUGCCUUCUUCUGAGCUUAUAAGAAUUUGAAGUCAGUGAGAGUAUACAAUUUUAUCUCAGAUUUGGACCCAUGCCUGUCUAUUCUUCUAUUGAUUCCCCACCAAAAGAACAGUGUUUAUCUUGUUUUUAUUUGCACAGUAUAUUCUGGAUAGCUACAAAUUUUCUCUGGCCCUGCGGAGAGCAAGUUGUAUUUUGGAGGGCUCUGUUAGCUGCCUCCAACAAGGAGUGGAGUGUGUUUGUGUAUACCUGCAAUAUGUCAGGUGUAUAAAUAUUUUGCCUAUGUUCAGCACUGCUGGCUCUCUUUUAUGUAGUGUUUUCUAUGCCUCACUCCCUCAUUAAAAUCUGUAAAUCUU